GGCGAACGGGUGAGUAACACGUGAGUAACCUGCCCUUGACUCUGGGAUAAGCCUGGGAAACUGGGUCUAAUACCGGAUAUGACUCCUCAUCGCAUGGUGGGGGGUGGAAAGCUUUUUGUGGUUUUGGAUGGACUCGCGGCCUAUCAGCUUGUUGGUGAGGUAAUGGCUCACCAAGGCGACGACGGGUAGCCGGCCUGAGAGGGUGACCGGCCACACUGGGACUGAGACACGGCCCAGACUCCUACGGGAGGCAGCAGUGGGGAAUAUUGCACAAUGGGCGAAAGCCUGAUGCAGCGACGCCGCGUGAGGGAUGACGGCCUUCGGGUUGUAAACCUCUUUCAGUAGGGAAGAAGCGAAAGUGACGGUACCUGCAGAAGAAGCGCCGGCUAACUACGUGCCAGCAGCCGCGGUAAUACGUAGGGCGCAAGCGUUAUCCGGAAUUAUUGGGCGUAAAGAGCUCGCAGGCGGUUUGUCGCGUCUGCCGUGAAAGUCCGGGGCUCAACUCCGGAUCUGCGGUGGGUACGGGCAGACUAGAGUGAUGUAGGGGAGACUGGAAUUCCUGGUGUAGCGGUGAAAUGCGCAGAUAUCAGGAGGAACACCGAUGGCGAAGGCAGGU
rnacentral:rRNA from 1 species